GCGAUUUGUCUGGUUACUUCCGUUAACGAACGAGACCACAGCCUACUAAAUAGUACGUGUUAUGGUAACAUAGUAUGAGACUUCUUAGAGGGACAUUUCGGGUUUACCGAAAGGAAGUUUGUGGCAAUAACAGGUCUGUGAUGCCCUUAGAUGUUCUGGGUCGCACGCGCGCUACACUGACGACUUCAACAAGUUUUUUGGCCUUGUCAAAUUUCCUUGGCCGGAAGGUCUGGGUAAUCUUUUAAAAGGGCGUCGUGAUGGGGCUAGAUUCUUGCAAUUAUUAAUCUCCAACGAGGAACC
rnacentral:rRNA from 1 species